UUUUAAAGGGCCGCGGUAAUCUGACCGUGCGAAGGUAGCAUAAUAAGUAGUCUUUUAAUUGGGGGCUUGUAUGAACGGUCGGAUGAGGGAUAAACUGUCUUCUCUUAAAUCUUAGAAUUUAACUUUUAAGUGAAAAGGCUUAAAUAUUUUGAAGUGACGAUAAGACCCUAUAAAACUUUAUAUAGGGGUGGCUUAUUUGAGAAAUGGAACAUAAAUUAAUAAGUCAUCUCUGUAUUUCGUUGGGGAGAUGAAGAUAUAAUUUGUAACUGUCUUAUAAAAUUAAUAAUUAUGAUUAGAUUUUGAUCCUUUAUUAUGGAUUAAAAGAUUAAGUUACUUUAGGGAUAACAGCGUAAUUUCCUUUGAGAGUUCUUAUCGACAAGGAUAGUUGCGACCUCGAUGUUGAAUUAAAAUUUCAGAUUGGUGCAGUCGCUAUUCUGGUA
rnacentral:rRNA from 1 species